UGGCAAUGUUCUCCUUCAUUAUUAUUUUUUUUUUUCACAGGAGGCAAAACGGAUCUGGUGGAGGUUCCUCUUAUCCUUCCACUGUACGUGAUCAGUCUCUUUAAUAAUUGUGCAAGGCAGGACUAUCCCACUGGCUCCAGCAGCAGCGCCUUACCCACAGAGGGUUCGGGUGGAUAAAUAAUUAAAAUCCUAUCCCUCGGCUUAGCGAAGGAAAAAGAAAAUAUUGACUCGCAUCCUUCUUCUUUUCCAUACAUCAACUGCACCCGGAUUCACCCUGGAUAGUGCAGGUGAAGAGGAGGAAAAAAAAAAAAAAAAAAAAAGAACGGAAAGAAGAGAAAAAGCCCACCCUAGUCCGCCCCGGCGCCCUCGGCUGUCUUCUCCGAAGGCUUUCUGAGCUUUCUGUCUCUGUCCUGGCGGGCUGUGCCUCUCCCCAAAGCCGCCUCGCCGCGCAGGAUGGAAGAAGCACUGAAGGGCACACUGGUCUCUUUGCUCCCCCUUUAUUCCAAGGCUGGGCGGCUUUGCUUCAGAUAUCCCCGCUCCGGGCAUGAAGCGAUCCCAGCCGAUGGAAGAAAAAAAAAAAAAAAAAAAAGAAGAAAGAAAGAAAGAAAACCCAUAUAUAUGAGAUAGGCUUGGAUAUUGGACCAGAGGAGAGAUCAGUCCCAGGAGGAUGUUGGUACAGGAAAGGAGGCGGCUCUCGUUGCUCUGCCAGUGUAAUGAUGGUGCUCACACAUGUAGGACUCCUCGGGUGCGGGGUAUCCUUUGGUCUCUGGGCUAAACUGGCUACAAGGCAUUCAACUUCAGUUCACGCCGGAGAUCUCCGCGCUCCCCCGGUCUCCCCCGCCGCGUCAGGCAGGACACCCCCUCCGCGGGGGGGGGAAAAGGCUCCGCCGCGCCGCUUCCUCUCGUCGCCUCUCCGCGGCCGCGCCCGCCCGCGCCUCCGCCAUCCAGCGCCGGGCUCCGCGCCCCCGCUCCGCAGCCGUGCGGCACUUCCGCGCCUGGGGCACGGCCC
rnacentral:lncRNA from 1 species